rnacentral:tRNA from 1 species
ACUCCAUUGGCCAAAUGGUAAGGCAUCUGCCUCCUAAGCAGGAGACUGCGGGUUCGAGUCCCGUGUGGAGUG